ACAUAAGGACGAUCUGGCUGUGACGUCUGUCACUCCAUUGAGCCUGGUCUAGCUGACUAGACGGGUGCCCCUUUCCUCCCUCAGUAUUGUGUGCGUGUCUGCCAAAGCUGGCUACUUGGUCAAAGAUGGCUCUCCCUGAAGGGAGGACUGUUCCCUGUCAAAGAUAAAUGAGUAGUUCUGCUCUUCUGCUAGAACCUCCAAACAAACUCAGGGAUGGUGCUGGAGCUGGAGAGCUAGCUUAGCGGGGAAAGGUCUUUGCUGCCAAGCCUGACCGCCUGAGGUCACUUCCU
rnacentral:snRNA from 1 species